UAUAUUUUGGUGUAUGAUGCACAAAGAAUUUUGAUUUCUUAGGCUUUAGUUUAAUUCUAAGUUGUAUAA
rnacentral:tRNA from 1 species